CCUGCGGAGUCUCACAAACAGUAGUCAAAAACGUGUAACUUAUCAUAAUCACCUUCAAUUUCAUCCUGGUUUUCUUUUGCUGUAACUUCAAAAGGCUUUUUCCAGAUUAGUGUCUGGAUGGACAAACAAUGUGCUGGAUUGAUGAGCAGCACGUUUCUCCUUCAAUGAACUGAACCUUUGCUUUCAUUCUUAAGUGGAAUACGGACUGCAGCCCAUCACACCAGUUUAACAUGAAGAUGAGAAGGACGAGGUGAAGCUGAGCUCUGGCCUGAAGAGGUAUUACGUCAAUGUUUGUUAGCAGAGAGAAUGACAUUCUUCUUUAUAUUGUGGCAACCCACGAAGCAGCACCCUGGACAGCGCCUCAAGAGAUCAGCACCAAGGUCUGGGGCACCGACGAGCCAGAGGUCAGUGGCGGAGUAACAGGGACUCCUCGAGGCAACUAGCAGACCGGUUUACAACCUGAUGACAGCGGGGACGGCCAAUCACACGAGCAACAGCAGAGCCAAUGGAGGAGCUGAUCGUCGUCCCUCCUGAGCGUAAAUACUCCGUCUGGAUCGGCGGCUCCUUCUCCACCUUCCAGCAGAUGUGGAUCAGCAAGCAGGAGGACGAGGCCGCUCACAGCAUCGUGCACCGCGAGUGCUUCUAAGGCGCUUUUCAGACACUUGAUAUUAAUU